CCACCCCUGCCCUCAGCCUCCUUCAAAGUGGCCGCUGGGGCUGGGGUCUGUCUUUGCAGAGGUGCCAGGCCACAUGCCCUGCCCACCUCUACCAGCUAUGCCGCCUCUGAAGUUCCUCCAGCGGCACUGAGGAGGGGCCCUGUGGUCGAGGGUGCAGUUAAACGAGGCCCGACCGGGUAGUUGAGCUCAGCUUGGCUGUACUUGUCUUCCUUGGACCUGCUGGGCACCCCCAGGAGGGCCAUGGUUAUAGACACAGGUUCGGAGUCAGCCCCAGCUUGAAUCCUGCUUCUGCCACCAGCCCUGUGACCUGAAGCAAGUGAGUCCCAAUCACCUCAUCUGUGCACUGAGAUGCAGAGUGGCUAUUUCUACUGCAUGUGGCUGUUGUGGGGACUGGGCGAGAGAGAUCCCCAAUAGGUGCUAUGAUUUUUCUCCCUGCUUUGCCCUCCAGCCAUACCCGGAAGCCCCCGAGUUUUGAUCUGGCCCAGGUAGACCGAUCAUUUCCUCCAAGUCCCCCUUCCCUGAGGAGCUGGCGUGCUUCAGUCUCACAGAAUGGGCAACUGAGGUUGAGAGAAAGGAAAUAACUUGUCCCAGGCCAGCAGCUGAGUCACGACCAAGGCACUUCGUUCUUCAUCUAGUGCGGCCUGUGCAGCCAAAAUGCCUUCCCAUGAGCUUGCCACAUAACCAUGGGUGGCUCACUGGACUUUCAUCUGGGCAAAGAGAAGGGUGUGCUGACACUACUCAUGGCUCCUUCAUCUGGGACCUACCCAAAUCCCGUGGCUUUGCUCACAAUCAUCUGAUCCUGUUGUGCCCAAGAUGCCUGCUCCCAUGC